UAUAGGGACUGUCCACCUUCAAAUUUACCACUACUAUAACAUCUUCCGGUCGGUCUCCGGUACGGAGCGGAGAAUGGAAAUAUUGGAUGUGAUGGACACUUCUAACAUAUUUUGAGGUAGCUGCACUAGAAGAUCGUCCCCCUGGAUGGCUGUGUACAAAGCACCAAGACACCGAUACCACUAUUGGCAAUGUUGAAGGCUGUGAUGGAGGGCAGACUCAAGAGAGACGGGGCACAAAGUUACAAUUAUUGCAUUUUCAUUUUGUCAUUAACACAUCUACAAUAAAUAUAUGAGACACCAAACCCUCA
rnacentral:lncRNA from 1 species